rnacentral:rRNA from 1 species
AUGAAUAUUUAAAUAGCCGCAGAAUUUUAACUGUGCUAAGGUAGCAUAAUCAUUUACCUUUUAAUUAAAGGUUUGUAUGAAAGAUUUAACAUUUAAAUUAUUUUUUUAUUAAUUUAUAUUUAAAUUUGACUAAAAAUAAAAAUAUUUUUAUAGAAUAAAAAGACGACAAGACCCUAUUGAACUUAACUUAAGUUAAGCUGGGGCAGCUAAUUAAACAUAAUUUUAAUACAUUAUAUUAAAUAAAUUUCUGGACACCCAAAAUGAUCAAGUUACCAUAGGGAUAACAGCGUAAUAAUUUUUAAAAGUUCUUAUCUAAAAAAUAGAUUACGACCUCGAUGUUGAAUUAAAUUUUACUUUAAAACGCAAUAGUAUUAAAAGUAGGUC